ensembl:lincRNA
CACACCUCAGAUUUACCCCACUGAGGGGCGGUAGAGCUGGAGUAUUUAUAUACCAACUCCUAAGAGCCAGUGGUUGAGGGCUGUUCCUGAAGGAAUUCCCUGGUUUCUCUGAGAGGGGGCAAUGCCCUUAGGCACCCAAGAUGCAGAUAUUGGCAGUUGGAAGUUGGCAGGAAGUUCUGAGAGACUCCGGCAGGGCAAGGACAAGCUCUGGCUACCAAAAGAAAUGAUUAUUUUUUUCACAUGCUGAUUUUGGAGACCUGCAUUUGGCUGCCAGACCAUAACUGUGAAAAUGGCAAUCAGCUGAAAUAUAGAAGAAUAAAUAUAAAAGAAGUUACAUGUAUAAGGAGAAGGGUCUUCAUGCCCUUAGGUCAGUAUCCAUACUUGCCUCACAGCAGUCACAGUUCAACCAAGAUGAACCCAUAUCCUCAGAGAAGGCCCAGAACUUGUUUGCCUUCUGCAACUGAGGGAACCUGGUCUAGGACAGAAAAUAAGGACGAACAGCUGCCCAAGAUAUUCCACAAACAUCCCAUUAGCCCUUGUCCUGACGACAGCCCAUCCAUGCUUUCUGAAUUUGGCAUCAGCAGAACCUUCCAUACAUCACUAAAGGAAAGUGGCUGCCCCUCCCAGUGUGACCUUCUUCUGUGCAUUUUUGGGAUACAGUUUUCUCUGUAGUGAUUUAUUCACCAAUGUGCCCCUGCUUACUUUCUUUCCUUCCAGGAACUUACCAAAAUUUCUAAUCUACUGCUGGAUCCUAUUCUCAUUUUCCAUUCCAAUAUGUAGUUUAUGACAUCUCCAUAGUAUUUUGGAAGGGAGGAGGUAUAAACAUAGCCCAUUAUUUUGAACCAGAAUUAUUACCAGCUUCUGGUGCUAGAGUGGUUACUAUUGAUUUUCUAUUCUGGAUAAUACCUGCUGCUGCUCAGUCUGCACCCUUUCUCCUUUUGUUCCCUCCUUAAUUGAGGGUUCUAGAAGGUAGAAACUGCAUUCCCCCAGAUUCUCUUGUUGCCUACUAAGUUCUGCUGUAGGAAGCAUUUAAGUAAGAUUGCAAGGACAAAGAAGGGGGCAGUCGUUUUGCUUCCAGCUCCCGCAGGGGCAAUGGCCAACAAGUGCAGUUGACCGUGGUGACUGUGACCUUCAGUGGUAGCAGCAGAUCUGGGAACUGCAGGAGGCUGUGGUGAGGGUGACAGAUGCCCACAGGCUGUGAGAGCACUGGCAGCGAUGUCAGCAGCAAAUGCAUGUUCUGGGAUCUGGAUAGUAUCCUUCACCCCUUUAUAUUCCUCCAUCCAACCAAAAUUUCUGUAACAAGUUUCUUGCACUAAAUGCCCCUUCUAUUUGGAAUAUUUAUAGUAUUUCUGUUUUCCUGACUUGGCCCUGAUGUAUAUGUUCAUUAACAUUAUAUUCUCUGCCUUGCUUUGAGCUGAUGUGAUGCAUGAUUAAACUAUUAGCAUCAGUUCAAAGAAAGCAUGAUGUUCCACUCACAGUAACCCUGAGGUAGAUAUUUUUAUACCCAUUUGUGAUAAUUUGAAGCUGUUGUGAGUUCUAGUAGAGAUCAUGGAGCUAAUCAAUUCCUGACACUUUGACUGGAUUAGAUUCAUUUGGGGACCUUUGACUGGAGUAUUUCAGUGAGGUGUGACCCAGGGUGGGUCUCGGCCCUCUUGCUGGAGUCCUAUAUAAACAGGAGAAACAUGCAGAGAGACACAGAGAAAGAGAGCUGCUAUGUGAGAGAGGACUCCAGGAUCGCCUGCAGCUAAAGACAGACAGAGAAAUCCCAUAGGCUGAGAGGGAGGCCAGAGGCUAGAAUCAGCAGACCAUCCCAUAUCUGAAGAGAUGAGGCCCAGGAAGAGAAAAGCAUAAGCCUGAUUGCCCAAUUUUGAGCUCAGGGAUAAAGUGAGCCUAGGGGAGAAUGGUUGCCAUUUUGCCUGGCCACAUGGCAGCAGUCCAGGAUCAGUGGAGCAACCAAACUGGUGAAACCUCUUGGAUGAUGCCUUGACUUUAACAUUUUCACAGCCUCAGAACUGUAAGAUUUUAUCCUAAUAAAUUCCCAUUAUAAAAGCCAACCUAUUUCUGGUAUUUUUGCUUUGGCA